CCUACGGGUGGCAGCAGUAGGGAAUAUUGGACAAUGGGGGAAACCCUGAUCCAGCCAUGCCGCGUGCAGGAUGACUGCCCUAUGGGUUGUAAACUGCUUUUGUACGGGAAGAAACCACAUUACGUGUAAUGUGUUGACGGUACCGUGAGAAUAAGGAUCGGCUAACUUCGUGCCAGCAGCCGCGGUAAUACGAAGGAUCCUAGCGUUGUCCGGAUUUACUGGGUUUAAAGGGUGCGUAGGCGGAUUUUUAAGUCAGUGGUGAAAGCCUGCAGCUUAACUGUAGAAUUGCCAUUGAAACUGAAAGUCUCGAGUGUGGUUGAGGUAGCUGGAAUGUAUCAUGUAGCGGUGAAAUGCUUAGAUAUGAUACAGAACUCCAAUUGCGAAGGCAGGCUACUAAACCAUAACUGACGCUGAGGCACGAAAGCGUGGGGAUCAAACAGGAUUAGAUACCCCUGUAGUC
rnacentral:rRNA from 1 species